rnacentral:rRNA from 1 species
CCUACGGGAGGCAGCAGUGGGGAAUAUUGGACAAUGGGCGCAAGCCUGAUCCAGCCAUGCCGCGUGAGUGAUGAAGGCCUUAGGGUUGUAAAGCUCUUUCGUCAGGGAAGAUAAUGACGGUACCUGAAGAAGAAGCCCCGGCUAACUUCGUGCCAGCAGCCGCGGUAAUACGAAGGGGGCUAGCGUUGUUCGGAAUUACUGGGCGUAAAGCGCACGUAGGCGGACUUGUCAGUCAGGGGUGAAAUCCCGAGGCUUAACCUCGGAACUGCCUUUGAUACUGCAAGUCUUGAGGAUGAGAGAGGUGAGUGGAACUGCGAGUGUAGAGGUGAAAUUCGUAGAUAUUCGCAAGAACACCAGUGGCGAAGGCGGCUCACUGGCUCAUUUCUGACGCUGAGGUGCGAAAGCGUGGGGAGCAAACAGGAUUAGAUACCCUUGUAGUC